rnacentral:lncRNA from 1 species
GGGUUUUACAGUCUAGCAAAAAAUGUACAUAAUUUGUUAUGCUCUCAGAGUUUAUCAGUGGUCAAGAAGUUAACAUUUCUUAACUUCAACCUCAAAGGUCUUUCCCACAGUCUGUGAAGCCUGUUUAGUUGCUACUACAUUAAACACACAUUCUAUUUCCUUUGAAUUAGGUUAGAUCAGCCUAUUAAAAAAAAGAAAUAGCUCUUAAACUACACACUGAUGAAAAUAUGAUUGUACUCUCUAUUAUAUCCAAAUAGGCAAUCUGUGUCCCCAAACUCUUAGUACUGCUUUUUAAACCACAAAAACUUUGGUAGGAUGUCAAAUAUUUUUCCAGUGUUUAAUAAAAUAGUAAACAUUUUCUAAAAAAAACUGUAAGAGAUUCUGGCCUCGGCUCAGGAGAGUUAGAAUACUUAACAUCUGUUUUGCCUCUAAAUUUUGUGACCUCUGGAUCCCUUUGUCCCUCAGUUUUCUCAUCUAUUAAAAAAAAAUUACAACAGAAAUCUCUUAUUUUCAGGUAACACAGGAGGCAACAAAUCAGAUUCUUCAAGUCUCAUAGCUACACCCUAGGGAUCACUGGGGAACUUGGAAAAAAAUCUAUUGGCUCAGCUAGUGAGCGAUCACUUCCUGUACCACUGUUCUGAGGGCGGACUUCCAGCUCAGGAUCAUGCGAGGGCAUUGUAAGGUUGCCCUUCAUCACUCAGCAGUGAAGAAUGAAAAUCAACAGAGCUUUCCCCAGCCUGCUGCUUAAGCAGCUGCUAACAGGCUGAGGCUGCCCAGCCUCAUUAACCCAUUAGAUGCUGCAUUCGCCCAGGAGUCAUUCUUAAUGAGGCUGCUGCAGAUAAGAAAACAGAAGCAAAGGCAGAAAGAUGCUACAUUGCCAGCUUUGAAGAUGGAGG